rnacentral:rRNA from 1 species
AUGCAGGCAGGAGUCGGUCUACUUGUCUCGGACGUGAUGCCUAUAUACAUGAUCAUACCUAGAUAUUCUCAUAACUAUGCUCAAUUAUGUCAAUUGCUCAACAGUAAUUCGUUCACCCACCGUGAAAUACUUAUGCUCUUGAGAGAAGCCACUAGUGAAACCUAUGGCCCCCGAGUCUAUCUUCAUCAUAUUAAUCUUCCAACACUUAGUUAUUUCCUUUGCUUUUAUUUUACUUUGCAUCUUUAUCAUAAAAAUACCAAAAAUAUUAUCUUAUCAUAUCUAUCAGAUCUCACUCUCGUAAGUGACCGUGAAGGGAUUGACAACCCCUUAUCGCGUUGGUUGCGAGGAUUUAUUUGUUUUGUGUAG